GACGUAGGAGGCGAGCGUUAUCCGGAUUCACUGGGCGUAAAGCGCAUGUAGGCGGAUGUCUAAGUCGUGUGUUAAAGCCCCUGGCUCAACUGGGGGAGGUCAUGCGAGACUGGAUGACUUGAGGGCAACAGAGGCACGUGGAACUCCCGGUGUAGCGGUGGAAUGCGUAGAGAUCGGGAGGAACAUCCGUGGCGAAGGCGACUACCUGGACCAGCACUGACACUGAGGCACGAAAGCGUGGGGAGCAAACAGGG
rnacentral:rRNA from 1 species